AGUCGAACGAAAUAAUCGUAGAAAUUGAUAGUAUUAUUGAAGAGGAGUCUUUACAAGUUGAACGUAUCACAUGUCCGAGUUCGUACGCAUUCUCAGGUACCACUGAACCGAACUAACCAAUAACCAGUUUGAAGUACCUACAAUAUACGUGAUCUUGAACGAUUAAUAAGGCAGAUAUCGAUUACUCACCGAAACCCGCAGAAAUAUUCAACACCAAAGCUGUAAUGAGACACGUUAAACUCCAAGCCCAUAGUUCCGGCUGCAGAUUCGUCAACCAGUAAACAAGAAUGGUGAAAGAUAACGGAUCGAAUAGAAAUCCUGGUAACUAUACAA